rnacentral:rRNA from 1 species
UACGUAGGGGGCAAGCGUUAUCCGGAUUUACUGGGUGUAUAGGGAGCGUAGACGGUAUGGCAAGUCUGAUGUGAAAACCCGGGGCUCAACCCCGGGACUGCAUUGGAAACUGUCGGACUAGAGUGUCGGAGAGGCAAGUGGAAUUCCUAGUGUAGCGGUGAAAUGCGUAGAUAUUAGGAGGAACACCAGUGGCGAAGGCGGCUUGCUGGACGAUGACUGACGUUGAGGCUCGAAAGCGUGGGGAGCAAACAGG